CCAAGCCGGCCGCGGGGGCGGGACCGCGGCUGCCGGUCUCCGCUGCCGCCGAGAACCCUCCCGCCAACGGCACCGGCACCGGCCCCGGCGGGACCCCGAGGGACGCCGGCCGGGCCGGGCCGGGCCGGGCGAGCUCGCCAGGGCCGAGGUGAGGCUGCCGGGUGAGAGCGGCCCUCGCUCGGCCCGACCCCCGCCCUGUCCUGUCCUGCCCCGGCCUCCGCCCGGGAAAGCCCUGGGGUCCUUCCCUAGCGCCCUCCGGAGAUCAGCCUAGCUGCCCGGCGGGGCCAGCAGCGCACGGUGAGCAGAUCUUUCGGGAGAGGAGUAGUGCUUUGCGUACGGGAGCGGGGGAGGAACCGUCCCACCCCGGCGGGAGCUGCCCACCCCUUCCAGGCGCCAUCAAACCGCCAGGAAUAACCAUCCCAGAUAGUGCAAUUCCUGCCCACCCGUUGAAUCAGGAUACUUAAACCCUAAGUUUUGGGGAGGAAAAUGGGGAGUCUUCCAACGAUACAGCUGGCCUGUAGGAGAUUCUUCUCCCCCUUGUCCAGGACGCCGUGCAAGGCAGCUUCCCAGGGACUGAGCGGCCUCACCUGAGAGAGGGGGUGUGCCCCGACAAAAGGAGGGACAAGGAGUGCAAUGGGGUGGAGACCUAAGAUGUGUCGACUUGAAGCAUGAGCUGCACUUGCAUGGAAUGGACAAGCUGUGCAGAACUUGAAUGUGGACCAGAAGUUCGGGGUUUUUUUCAUUCUUGUGAUCUUUCUAUGUUUGUUUUGAUAAGGAUAAUUUGUUGUUGUUGUUGUUUGAGUUGGCUUGUUUGGUUUUUUUUCUUGAAUUACAGUAGUGCACUCUUCCAUCGUAUCCAUAAAACUUGCAAUAGUGUCGUAUCGGACCUGUGAGUGAAGUCCAAAUAAAUUGUGAAUUUGAACCUCUCA